rnacentral:rRNA from 1 species
CCUACGGGAGGCUGCAGUGAGGAAUAUUGGUCAAUGGACGAGAGUCUGAACCAGCCAAGUAGCGUGAAGGAUGACUGCCCUAUGGGUUGUAAACUUCUUUUAUAUGGGAAUAAAAUGUUCCACGUGUGGGAUUUUGUAUGUACCAUAUGAAUAAGGAUCGGCUAACUCUGGGCCAGCAGCCGCGGUAAUACGGAGGAUCUGAGCGUUAUCCGGAUUUAUUGGGUUUAAAGGGAGCGUAGGUGGAUUGUUAAGUCAGUUGUGAAAGUUUGCGGCUCAACCGUAAAAUUGCAGUUGAAACUGGCAGUCUUGAGUGCAGGAGAGGUAGGCGGAAUUCGUGGUGUAGCGGUGAAAUGCUUAGAUAUCACGAAGAACUCCGAUUGCGAAGGCAGUUCACUGGACUGCAACUGACACUGAGGCUCGAAAGUGUGGGUAUCAAACAGGAUUAGAUACCCCGGUAGUC